rnacentral:rRNA from 1 species
UGCAGUCGAGCGGUAGCCAGAGAGCUUGCUCUCGGGUGACGAGCGGCGGACGGGUGAGUAAUGUCUGGGAAACUGCCUGAUGGAGGGGGAUAACUACUGGAAACGGUAGCUAAUACCGCAUAACGUCGGAAGACCGAAGUGGGGGACCUUCGGGCCUCAUGCCAUCAGAUGUGCCCAGAUGGGAUUAGCUAGUAGGUGGGGUAACGGCUCACCUAGGCGACGAUCCCUAGCUGGUCUGAGAGGAUGACCAGCCACACUGGAACUGAGACACGGUCCAGACUCAUACGGGAGGCAGCAGUGGGGAAUAUUGCACAAUGGGCGCAAGCCUGAUGCAGCCAUGCCGCGUGUGUGAAGAAGGCCUUCGGGUUGUAAAGCACUUUCAGCGGGGAGGAAGGCGAUAAGGUUAAUAACCUUGUCGAUUGACGUUACCCGCAGAAGAAGCACCGGCUAACUCCGUGCCAGCAGCCGCGGUAAUACGGAGGGUGCAAGCGUUAAUCGGAAUUACUGGGCGUAAAGCGCACGCAGGCGGUCUGUCAAGUCGGAUGUGAAAUCCCCGGGCUCAACCUGGGAACUGCAUUCGAAACUGGCAGGCUAGAGUCUUGUAGAGGGGGGUAGAAUUCCAGGUGUAGCGGUGAAAUGCGUAGAGAUCUGGAGGAAUACCGGUGGCGAAGGCGGCCCCCUGGACAAAGACUGACGCUCAGGUGCGAAAGCGUGGGGAGCAAACAGGAUUAGAUACCCUGGUAGUCCACGCCGUAAACGAUGUCGAUUUGGAGGUUGUGCCCUUGAGGCGUGGCUUCCGGAGCUAACGCGUUAAAUCGACCGCCUGGGGAGUACGGCCGCAAGGUUAAAACUCAAAUGAAUUGACGGGGGCCCGCACAAGCGGUGGAGCAUGUGGUUUAAUUCGAUGCAACGCGAAGAACCUUACCUGGUCUUGACAUCCACAGAACUUUCCAGAGAUGGAUUGGUGCCUUCGGGAACUGUGAGACAGGUGCUGCAUGGCUGUCGUCAGCUCGUGUUGUGAAAUGUUGG